rnacentral:lncRNA from 1 species
AUCUCUUGAUCACAAUCCCAAUUCAGGGUUUGGAUCUCAUAUCUGACUUCUCUUUCGCAUAUCAAGUUAAAAUACUUGAUUUAAAUAUUCUGAACAAUUCAUAUAAUAAAAUAUAUAUUAUAUAAAUUCUAAUUAUCACUUCAUAUAUUAUUUCCAAUCAUGUUUUCAUGGAAAAUAAUUAAUAAAAACAUUUCUGCUUACAGAAAUUAAUUACCAUAAAAAUAUAAUUUGUAGUAAUUAAUAAUUCCAAAAUUAUUUCUAAUUUUUCAAGUAAUAAAUAUAUUCGCAUUUAUCGUUCACAUUACUAGACACUUAUUCUCGUCAUUAAAAAAAAAAAAAUUAUACGCAAAUUUUCUUAUUUAUUUUAUUUAGGAAAUCUCGGGUUAUUACAUUCACCCUCCCUUAUAAGGAUUCCGUCCCCGGAAUCACCGCUUUAAAAACUCAUAUGCAGAAGGGUACAUAACAUAUAAUCAUUGUACGUAGAUCUCGAUCAUACUUGAUCGAACUGAUCUUUAACUAUUCUCCAUAACGCUUGUCUAUCUGAUAAACAGAAAUUUGAUCUCUAAAAGAACUCAAAUUCCUUCCUCAAAAUUUCUUUAAUAAAGUAAUUUACUAUAUGUAUAUAUACAGGAAAAUCAUAUAAGACACAUAAGUUAUUCAAAUAGCACCUGGAGUUCUAUUUCCAGCUGCCACCGUAUCCUCAACUGCUACGAUAUCUUGAACGACCAUAAUGAAGACACUUACGGUUUAUUUCGUUGUCGCCUAUAUCUUGCUGUCAUUUCUCGUAUUCACAUUCCUUAUCUCAUUUCUUCUUCUUUCACCUUAUACUCUUUCAUCUUAUACUCCAUUGAUUCAUAAAUAAAACAUUUGCUAUACAUCAUUGAAUUGAGACAAUUAGAAGAGAUAUGUCUCUUCUGCCCUCACACAAAGCACACAAACUUUUUCUUUAUCUCAUUUUCCUUUUAUCGUAUAGGUGAUAAAAGUUAUAUUUUGCCCUUUUCGUUAUCCUAACUAUAAUAAACGCUUCUACUGAGUCACUUAAUCCUCUAUACCCUAGCAAUAGGAUUGCCUUAAAGUCUUUGGCGUUCGACGUUCGAUUAUC